CGGGUCAAAGAUUUUUGUAUGUGGGUUGACACGGGAUCCGUUUCCUAUUAUUAUGACCCGACUAUGUACGAUUCCUUUUGUAAAACCCUAGAUUUGAAUCUUCCUCUCCUUCUCGUGUACUCCUUCUCUUCUCCCUCCCUCUGAUACAAUCCUUCAUCGAAACCCUAGCCAUCCAGUCAGACCGGUGGUUAUUCGCUUCUCCCGACCCGCCUAACAAUCUGGAUCUUAUGAAAACCUUCUAUUUCUUUCACUUUUUACAUCAGCCGCUAUUCUUCUCAAACCCUAACUAUAAACAACGUCUUUCUUCUUCUUCGUUGUUUAACAAUUCAACCAUCCACCAUCGCACAACACACCAUAUUACCAGAAGAGAGAGACAUGAGACAAAUUGAUAGAGAGGGACUGACAUUGGGGAACUUCAUAUCAGUGAAAUGAAUCAGAAGAUGAUGGGGUAAGAUGAGUCAUUUUCUGAUUGAAAAGAAGAAGCGAGAUUUAGCUAUCCAGAUGCUGGCAGCUUUCGCAUUUUUUCGUCUUUUUUCAGUGCCGUCAAAUUCCAAAUAUUCAGAUGUUGAAUUGCGGUCUGAUGAGGUGGAAAUAUACUCAGAGGUCAAAGUCCCUUCAUUCGAAAAGCUCGGAUGGUGUAAAAUUACAAGAAAUUCAGAUCUCUGUUCUGCAACAUUGCAAAAUAAGAGGACCAACAUGAAUAUUUUUCUUUGCUUGUGCAGUCUAAAUGUAAUAUUUGUUGACGGGACCGAUGUUCCAUCUGAAGAUACAAUCAUGAUUAGGUGUGGAAGUGAGAUAAUCCCCGGCCCUGUUUCUGAUGAUAUUUGAAGGCUAUUUGAGUUACAGAUUUAAAGUGAUGCCGAUUAAUGAGUCCUCCAAAAAGGUGUUACAGGUGACUCUGGAGAUUCUAAGGGACCGAAUAGCUGAAGCUCAUGAAGUUUGUGUGAUUGAGUCUGGGGGUUACCACACACAACGUUUUUUCUGAUGAGCGUUUGAGGCAAUUCUUGAUUCUUCAAACUGUCAAAGGUUGGGACUAAGUUCUUUGAAUUGGCGGUGGACAUCGAUAGAGAUUCGUCGAUGGUGCAAACUGUUGCUGUGCAUCUCAACAAUAUUCCUCUGGUGUGCUGCUUUAGUGUUAGAAUUUAUCAAAGUAUCGAAGAGCAAAAGGCGAACGCCAGCAUGGUGUGACAGAAUACUGUGGCAUGGGGAGGGGAUCCAUCAGAAGUCAUAUACUCGGUGGGAGUCACGGUCCUCUGACCACCGGCCCGUUUGUGCAACGUUUUUAAUAUUUUUACAUAACCAAAGGAGUUGAGAAGACCGAUUGUGGCUGCUUGCGAGUUUUGACCAGUCAAUUUUGUGGAUGAAAUGCCUUACAUUUUAAAAGACGACAAAUAUGAGACAAAGUACAAGACUGACUUAAAAGAGGGAACUCAAUUUACUAAGGGAAAGGUUUUUGUAACUCGACGGAUAUGCAUCUUCAAAGGGACUCGACUAUCUUUAAAUUGUGUAUCCACUGUAUCACUAAUUUAUGUAACAUGAGACUUUGUAUUUUAUUUUAUUUGUACCUUUGAUAUUUAUCUUAAUAGUUUUCUCCAACCCGGGUAGCACCCGGGUGAUAACCUAGUUC